UUGAAAUCUACCUGGGUAAAAUCAGAGACCUGCUGGACGUGUCGAAGACGAACCUCGCUGCAUGAAGACAAGAACAGAGUGCCCUAUGUGAAGGGCUGCACUGAGCGCUUCGUGUCCAGUCCUGAGGAAGUGAUGGACGUCAUCGACGAGGGAAAGGCCAAUCGGCACGUGGCAGUGACAA